GACGAACGCUGGCGGCGUGCUUAACACAUGCAAGUCGAACGGAAAGGCCCUGCUUUUGUGGGGUGACCGAGUGGCGAACGGGUGAGUAACACGUGAGUAACCUGCCCUUCACUUUGGGAUAACUUCAGGAAACUGGGGCUACUACCGUAUAGCAGCUCCUGCUCCAUGGUGGGGGUUGGAACGUCUCGGCGGUUGGGGAUGGACUCGCGGCUUAUGAGCUUGUUGGUGGGGUAGUGGCAUACCAAGGCUUGGACGGGUCGCCGGCCUGAGAGGGUGACCGGCGACAUUGGGACUGAGAGACGGCCCAGACUCGUACGGGAGGCAGCAGGGGGGAGUAUUGUACAAUGGGAGGAAGCCUGAGGAAGCAACGCCGCGUGCGGGAAGACGGCCUUCGGGGUGUAAACCGCUUUCGCCUGUGACGAAGCGUGAGUGACGGUAAUGGGUGAAGAAGCACCGGCUAACUACGUG
rnacentral:rRNA from 1 species